AUUGCUUCUUGGCCUUUUGGCUAAGAUCAAGUGUAGAAUCUGUUCUUAUCAGUUUAACAUGUGAUAUGUCCUUUAUCCGAGAACAAUAGAUUAAAUGGAUUUCUGCAGCAGGAAGUUGGAGUAGGAGCUUGCUCCAUCCGCUUCACGCAUCGGCCUGGUAUUGCAGUAGUUCCAGGAACGGUGCAGCCCCC